AGGACGAACGCUGGCGGCGUGCUUAACACAUGCAAGUCGAGCGGAAAGGCCCUUCGGGGUACUCGAGCGGCGAACGGGUGAGUAACACGUGAGUAAUCUGCCCCUAGCUCUGGGAUAGCUCCGGGAAACCGGGAUUAAUACCAGAUACGACCACUUUAGACAUCUGCUGUGGUGGAAAGAAUUUCGGCUAGGGAUGAGCUCGCGGCCUAUCAGCUUGUUGGUGGGGUAGUGGCCUACCAAGGCGACGACGGGUA
rnacentral:rRNA from 1 species